GUAGUAUAUUUAGCACAUACACUAAAAUUGGAAGAUGCAAAGAAGGUUAACAGGGCUCUUGGGCAAGGAUGACACACACAUUUGUUAAGUGCUCCAUAGUUUG